rnacentral:rRNA from 1 species
AGUGGGUUUAGGCCCACGGCAAACGGGUUAGUAAUGCAUAGGAAUUUUCCUCGAAGUCGUGAAUAAUCCGGAGAAAUCCGGAAUAAUACACGAUGUGCUCUACGGAGUAAAGAUUUAUCGCUUUGAGAGAAGCCUAUGUCCUAUCAGCUUGUUGGUGGUGUAAAGGACCACCAAGGCUAUGACGGGUAGGGGGUGUGAGAGCACGGCCCCCAACAUUGGGACUGAGACACUGCCCAAACUCCUACGGGAGGCUGCAGUCGAGAAUAUUCGUCAAUGCGCGAAAGCGUGAACGAGCGACGCCGCGUGCGGGAUGAAGGCCUUCGGGUUGUAAACCGCUUUUGUAAGGGAAGAAUUUCGAUGACGGUACCUUACGAAUAAGAGGUUACUAACUCUGUG